UACGUAGGGUGCGAGCGUUAAUCGGAAUUACUGGGCGUAAAGCGUGCGCAGGCGGUUUUGUAAGCCAGAUGUGAAAGCCCCGGGCUUAACCUGGGAAUGGCAUUUGGGACUGCAAGGCUUGAGUGCGGCAGAGGAGACUGGAAUUCCUGGUGUAGCAGUGAAAUGCGUAGAUAUCAGGAGGAAUACCGAUGGCGAAGGCAGGUCUCUGGGCUGACACUGACGCUCAGGAGCGAAAGCGUGGGGAGCGAACAGG
rnacentral:rRNA from 1 species